AAGCUUGCUUCUAUGACGUUAGCGGCGGACGGGUGAGUAACACGUGGGCGACCUGCCUGUAAGACUGGGAUAACUUCGGGAAACCGAAGCUAAUACCGGAUAGGAUCUUCUCCUUCAUGGGAGAUGAUUGAAAGAUGGUUUCGGCUAUCACUUACAGAUGGGCCCGCGGUGCAUUAGCUAGUUGGUGAGGUAACGGCUCACCAAGGCAACGAUGCAUAGCCGACCUGAGAGGGUGAUCGGCCACACUGGGACUGAGACACGGCCCAGACUCCUACGGGAGGCAGCAUUAGGGAAUCUUCCGCAAUGGACGAAAGUCUGACGGAGCAACGCCCCGUGAGUGAUGAAGGCUUUCGGGUCGUAAAACUCUGUUGUUAGGGAAGAACGCGUACGAGAGUAACUGCUCCUACCUUGACGGUACCUAACCAGAAAGCCACGGCUAACUACGUGCCAGCAGCCGCGGUAAUACGUAGGUGGCAAGCGUUAUCCGGAAUUAUUGGGCGUAAAGCGCGCGCAGGCGGUUUCUUAAGUCUGAUGUGAAAGCCCACGGCUCAACCGUGGAGGGUCAUUGGAAACUGGGGAACUUGAGUGCAGAAGAGAAAAGCGGAAUUCCACGUGUAGUCGUGAAAUGCGUAGAGAUGUGGAGGAACACCAGUGGCGAAGGCGGCUUUUUGGUCUCUAACUUACGCGUAAGCGCCAGACCGUGGGGAGCCCAUAGCAUCUGAUAUUCGGCCACAUCUCUCCGCAAAUCAUCACUGCUCCGUGUUAGAGGGUUUCCGCCCUUUCGCGCUGCAGCUCCCGCAUUAAGCACUCCGCCUCGGGAGUACGGUCGCAUUACACAAACUCAAAGGAAUUGACGGGGGCCCGCACAAGCGGUCCAGCAUGUGGUUUAAUUCGAAGCAACGCGAAGAACCUUACCAGGUCGGGACGUCCUCUGACGCCUCUAGAGAUAGAGCGUUCCCCUUCGGGGGACAGAGUGACAGGUGGUGCAUGGUUGUCGUCAGCUCGUGUCGUGAGAUGUUGGGUUAAGUCCCGCAAC
rnacentral:rRNA from 1 species